rnacentral:lncRNA from 1 species
AUAUAUCACUUCAAAAUUUGUAAAUUUUGGUGCACCUAGCAUGGUGCGAGAUGUUAAGGCUAGGGUUAAGAAUUUAUUGUAAGUUGAUAUUUCAUAAUCACGUUGGUUUUUGGAAGGAUAAUCAUGUUGAGUUUUGCAUUUGUUCAUGGACCAAAUGGUUUGGCAAUUUAUUGUGAUGGGAGCUGGAUUAAUGCAAAGGAGGUAGGUGAAGGUUUUCUUUUAUUCAUUAGUACAAGGUUCAUUUAUAUUAUUAUAUAUAGCGAGACAGGGGUAAGAAUAUAAGAUAGUUGUAGUAGAAACAAAUCAGUAAAUUAUGAUGAUAAGGCG